rnacentral:rRNA from 1 species
UAAUACGUAGGGUGCGAGCGUUGUCCGGAAUUAUUGGGCGUAAAGAGCUCGUAGGCGGCUUGUCGCGUCGGAUGUGAAAGCCCGGGGCUUAACCCCGGGUCUGCAUUCGAUACGGGCAGGCUAGAGUUCGGUAGGGGAGAUCGGAAUUCCUGGUGUAGCGGUGAAAUGCGCAGAUAUCAGGAGGAACACCGGUGGCGAAGGCGGAUCUCUGGGCCGAUACUGACGCUGAGGAGCGAAAGCGUGGGGAGCGAACAGG